UACGUAGGGUGCAAGCGUUGUCCGGAAUUAUUGGGCGUAAAGAGCUCGUAGGCGGUGUGUCACGUCGUUCGUGAAAACCUGCAGCUUAACUGUGGGCGUGCGGUCGAUACGGGCAUCACUGGAGUUCGGCAGGGGAGACUGGAAUUCCUGGUGUAGCGGUGAAAUGCGCAGAUAUCAGGAGGAACACCGGUGGCGAAGGCGGGUCUCUGGGCAGUAACUGACGCUGAGGAGCGAAAGCGUGGGGAGCGAACAGG
rnacentral:rRNA from 1 species